rnacentral:rRNA from 1 species
UACGGGGGGAGCAAGCGUUGUUCGGAUUUACUGGGCGUAAAGGGCGCGUAGGCGGUCAGCACAAGUCAGUUGUGAAAUCUCCGGGCUUAACUCGGAAAGGUCAACUGAUACUGUGCGACUAGAGUGCGGAAGGGGCAACUGGAAUUCUUGGUGUAGCGGUGAAAUGCGUAGAUAUCAAGAGGAACACCAGUGGCGAAGGCGGCUACCUGGGUCCAUACUGACGCUGAGGCGCGAAAGCGUGGGGAGCAAACAGG